rnacentral:rRNA from 1 species
AUUUAACGGCCACGGUACCCUAACCGUGCAAAGGUAGCAUAAUCACUUGUUCUUUAAAUGAGGACUAGUAUCAACGGCAUCACGAGGAUCCUACUGUCUCCCCCCUCUAAUCAGUGAAACUGAUCUCCCCGUGAAGAAGCGGGGAUAUACAUAUAAGACGAGAAGACCCCAUGGAGCUUUAAACCUGACAGCACCCGCUCAUUCUAUACCCCAUUAUUUGCCCGACCCCUGUCUGCUCAGUUUUAGGUUGGGGUGACCACGGAGUAUAAAGUAACCUCCAUGAAGAAGGGGAUAUUUCCCUUAUUAGAGAACCACACUUCCAAGAACUAAUAAAUUAAUUUUCAAUGACCCGAUACCCGAUAAUCGAUCAACGAACCAAGUUACCCUGGGGAUAACAGCGCAAUCCACCCUGAAAGCCCUUAUUAACA